rnacentral:tRNA from 1 species
GCUGAAGUGGCGGAAUUGGUAGACGCGCUAGGUUCAGGUCCUAGUCCUAGUUAAUAGGGUGGAGAUUCGAGUUCUCUCUUCAGCA